GCCGAAGUGGUGGAACUGGUAGACGCGCUGGCUUCAGGAGCCAGUGGGUGCAAACCCGUGGGGGUUCGAGUCCCCCCUUCGGCA
rnacentral:tRNA from 1 species